GAUGAAGAACGUAGUGAAAUGCGAUACGUAAUGUGAAUUGCAGAAUUCAGUGAAUCAUCGAAUCUUUGAACGCAUAUUGCGCUCUCUGGUAUUCCGGAGAGCAUGCUUGUUUGAGUAUCAGUAAACACCUCAACUUCCAUAUCUUUUUUUGAAAUGGGAGUUGGACUUGAGUGAUCCCAACGCUUUUCCUCACCGAAAAGUGGCGGGUUACUUGAAAUGCAGGUGCAGCUGGACUUUUCUCUGAGCUAUAAGCAUAUCUAUUUAGUCUGCCUAAAAAACAGAUUAUUACCUUUGCUGCAGCUAACAUAAAGGAGAUUAGUUCUUGUGCUGACUGAUGCAGGAUUCACAAAGACAGCUUCGGCCGACUUUGUAAACUCGAUCUCAAAUCAAGUAAGACUACCCGCUGAACUUAAGCAUAUCAAUAAGCGGAGGA
rnacentral:misc_RNA from 1 species